rnacentral:rRNA from 1 species
AUUGAACGCUGGCGGAAUGCUUUACACAUGCAAGUCGAACGGUAGAGGGGGCAACCCCUCGAGAGUGGCGAACGGGUGAGUAAUAUAUCGGAACGUGCCCAGUCGUGGGGGAUAACGUAGCGAAAGUUACGCUAAUACCGCAUACGAUCUAAGGAUGAAAGCGGGGGAUCGCAAGACCUCGCGCGAUUGGAGCGGCCGAUAUCAGAUUAGGUAGUUGGUGGGGUAAAGGCUCACCAAGCCAACGAUCUGUAGCUGGUCUGAGAGGAGGACCAGCCGCACUGGAACUGAGACACGGGCCAGACUCCUACGGGAUGCAGCAUUGGGGAAUUUUGGACAAUGGACGAAAGUCUGAUCCAGCCAUUCCGCGUGCAGGAUGAAGGCCCUCGGGUUGUAAACUGCUUUUGUACGGAACGAAAAGGUCUCUCUUAAUACGGGGGGCUCAUGACGGUACCGUAAGAAUAAGCACCGGCUAACUACGUGCCAGCCGCCGCCGUAA